GGGGUUGUGGCUCAGUGGUAGAGAACUUGCCUUGCACGCAUGAAGCAUUGGGUUUGAUCCUCAGCACCACA
rnacentral:tRNA from 1 species